rnacentral:rRNA from 1 species
UGGGGAAUAUUGCACAAUGGGCGCAAGCCUGAUGCAGCCAUGCCGCGUGUGUGAAGAAGGCCUUCGGGUUGUAAAGCACUUUCAGCGAGGAGGAAGGGUAGUGUGUUAAUAGCACAUUGCAUUGACGUUACUCGCAGAAGUAGCACCGGCUAACUCCGUGCCAGCAGCCGCGGUAAUACGGAGGGUGCAAGCGUUAAUCGGAAUUACUGGGCGUAAAGCGCACGCAGGCGGUUUGUUAAGUCAGAUGUGAAAUCCCCGCGCUUAACGUGGGAACUGCAUUUGAAACUGGCAAGCUAGAGUCUUGUAGAGGGGGGUAGAAUUCCAGGUGUAGCGGUGAAAUGCGUAGAGAUCUGGAGGAAUACCGGUGGCGAAGGCGGCCCCCUGGACAAAGACUGACGCUCAGGUGCGAAAGCGUGGGGAGCAAACA